rnacentral:rRNA from 1 species
CCUACGGGACGCAGCAGUGGGGAAUAUUGCACAAUGGGCGCAAGCCUGAUGCAGCCAUGCCGCGUGUAUGAAGAAGGCCUUCGGGUUGUAAAGUACUUUCAGUCGGGAGGAAGGUGGUGAGCUUAAUACGCCCAUCAAUUGACGUUACCGACAGAAGAAGCACCGGCUAACUCCGUGCCAGCAGCCGCGGUAAUACGGAGGGUGCAAGCGUCAAUCGGAAUUACUGGGCGUAAAGCGCACGCAGGCGGUUGAUUGAGUCAGAUGUGAAAUCCCCGGGCUUAACCCGGGAAUUGCAUCUGAUACUGGCCAGCUAGAGUCUUGUAGAGGGGGGUAGAAUUCCAUGUGUAGCGGUGAAAUGCGUAGAGAUGUGGAGGGAUACCGGUGGCGAAGGCGGCCCCCUGGACAAAGACUGACGCUCAGGUGCGAAAGCGUGGGGAGCAAACAGGAUUAGAUACCCGCGUAGUC